AAUGAACGUUGGCGGCGUGGAUUAGGCAUGCAAGUCGAGCGAGAAAUUCCAGCUUGCUGGAAUGGACAGCGGCGAAAGGGAGAGUAAUGCGUAGGAAUCUGCCCUCGGGUCUGGGAUAGCGUUGGGAAACUGGCGGUAAUACCGGAUAAUGUCUUUGGACCAAAGAAUUUCGCCCGGGGAUGAGUCUACGUCCUAUUAGCUAGUUGGUGGGGUAACGGCCUACCAAGGCAACGAUGGGUAGCGGGUGUGAGAGCAUGAUCCGCCUCACUGGGACUGAGACACUGCCCAGACAUCUACGGAUGGCUGCAGUCGAGAAUCUUUGUCAAUGGACGAAAGUCUGAACAAGCGACGCCGCGUGCGGGAUGAAGGCCCUCGGGUUGUAAACCGCUGUCAGAGGGGAGGAAAUUUUGACUGAACCUCAGAGGAAGGACGGGCUAAGUUCGUGCCAGCCGCCGCCGUAACAC
rnacentral:rRNA from 1 species